CGUAUCUCUCUCUAAAACGCAGUCUCCCGAAACGAGUCUCCCGAACCCACAUUGAAACGCAGUGCGCUCCUCCGGGCUCCGGCCGCCGCCGUCGACCUGCAGCUCGCGCCACCGGACUCCAGCCACCAAGCCACCUACUGCACCUCGCCGGAGCCCGGCCGCCCUGCCCCGCCGUGAGCGUGGCUUGCGCCGUCGGAUUCCGGCCGCCCCGGCCUCGACCGCGGCUCGCCGGAGCCCGGCCGCCCCGCCCCGCACCAACCGCGGCUCGCGCCGCCAGAUCCCGGCGGCCCCAGCCCUGACCGCCGCUCGCCGGAGCUCGGCCGCCCCGCCCAGCUGCAGCAGCUCCCGCCAACGCCGACACCGACGUCACCAGCAGAAUCAAUCGGCGGCAUCGAAUGAAGUGCCUCAUGCUACAAAUCCUUCACCAAAUCAGUCUCGUUGUCCGUGAUGAUACUUGUAGUUGUUAAUGGUAUUAUUUGCACUUCUUAUGGUGAAUGAUGGAGCACUGGGAUUACUUGUGAACUUACUGUGAUAUACUAUGACUUAUGCGAUGUUUGUGAUAUGUAUGUGAUGUCUGUGAUA